AAGUAGGAAAGGUUUUGUGGAAGGAGUGCUGUAGCUGAGAAUAUUUACAGGCUUGUGAAGCUUUGGUGCUCACCAACGAGGGUAUGGAACAGGUAAAUGAUAAAGUCAAGUCUUCGAUUCAUUAAUUUGGAUACCUAUGAACAUAAUGGACUAAAGUUUGUCUUGUGGUUAACAUACAAGAUAGAACUUGUGUAAGGAAUUAAAACUUAAACAAGAUUGUUCACAGAAACAAAUGCUCUCUACACCAGUGAAUAUUCUGCUUUAAUGACGCAAUGAAGUCAGAAGACUAUUCAGCGGCAAAGUCAGUCACUGGUAAGAAAUAAGGGGGAAGAAAUAGCAACAAGGUUAUGUAGUUCUUAUCAGAUGCACUUACCUCUCUGAUUAACGUCGCUGAAAUCAGUCCAUGAUAAGAAGCUUCUCAGUGUAAGAAAAAUAGGCAGCAUAAACAAGACUUACCUAGACCCAUCUAUUAUUUUCAUCUAGUAACGUAUACUCCAGAAAAAAGUAUCGAGGCACCAGACUUUAGUUGUAGAGAAACUGAAAUUAUUCUUCUGAUUGAUAUUUGCUAUUUCCUGUUACUCUCUGAUGAAAGAAAAUAUAGUUCCUUACUAUACAAAAUCUGUAAUAUUCAUUCACCAUGUAAAUUAC